rnacentral:tRNA from 1 species
GAUGGUAUAGCUCAGUGGUAGAGUGCAUGCCUAGCAUGCACAAGGUUCUGGGUUCAAUCCUCAGUACCUCCA